UUCCGUCUCGCAAGCUGGUUUCCUUCCACUCGGCCAACGACAAGUCAACCUGAAGCCGCUUUGGCCUUUUCACUUUCCUUCCUCGCUCCCUCAUGUGCUUCCUCCUUUCCUUUCCUUCUUUCGUCCUCUACUUGCUUGUCUCGCCUACUCCCCCCCCCCCCACCCCCCCCGAAGUAAGAGGAUCACUUUGUUUCCGUCGCCGUCCCGCGUGGACGAGAGGACCGCGUCCGAGCAGAUACUGAUGGGGGUGCACAGCUGCACCACCGCCGCCCCCAUCUCCUCUUGGGUAAGGGAGGGGGAAAGAUUAGGGGGGGGGGGAUAUGGAAGUUGGACAAAAGAGGACACUUGGACACUUUCAUUCCGACUUUUCGGAUGCUGGAAAAUUUAUGGAAAUGCACGAGAAAAGUACUCUGUCCAGCAAACACCCCAGAGAGGAAGACCUCCAUGAAGGAGUGAAGAUGAGAUGAAGAAGGACCAGAAUGUGGAGGAGACUCUCAUCCCCCCCGCCCCCCCAAGCUCCACAUCAUUAUGCAUCAUUACGCCGCGGCAAUAAAACCACUGGAUUGGGGCCUAACUGCUAAAACAUCAAUAGUUUAAUUGAAGAUGACGUGAGCGGAGCCACGAGGCGCACCUGAACGCCUCAUCAAGUGCUGCUUUCAAGUGCCGGAAGAAGCCGGACCGAACUCUUUUGCCUCAUGGAACACUGAGUAGGCACCUUACUGGGUGCUAUGGGUUACAUUGACACGUCUCUAGGGGGCGCCGCAAAGAUGAGGGGGGAAAAAAUAGAUCAAGUCAGAAUAUGUGGGUUGGAUGUGCGCCCUCUACAGGCAAGACUGCCAUACAGCGCACUUCAAGUGGAUAUAACCAAACUGAGAAGUUGGGGUGUAACUGUAAGUGUAAGAGUAAAACAAGUACAUUGCAAAAAGCUGAAGUGAAUUAAUUGACUCAUAUUAUGUUCAACCUAUGGUGAAUGUUUAUAUCCAACUUGGAGAAAGCAAACCACCAGGUUUGAGUUAAUAACCAUGGAGAAAGAGCCUUAGAUGGACAUUUGCAUGUGGACAGGAAUUAGCUCUCUCACAAGAAGGAGCCAUAAAACCAGGCAAAAGUUGUAGCUCUAUCCUGGCGAGGAGAUUCCGUGUUUAUCUUAAACGUCAAACCUACAAGUUAUGGUAAACAUCUGUUGUUUUCCAGUCACCACCCACAAACACCUCCUCACAUGGUCAGGUUGUGCUGUUCUGACUUAGCACACACCCAGACAGAGAAAGAAGGAAUAUAUAACUGAUGGUUUGGCUUCUCCAGGGCAGGAGUUCUUCAUAUUUGACCUGACAUCCUCCCAGAAACUGCAGUCCUAUGUAAUGACGCUCGCUUGUAAUAAAGCAACUUUUGGUUCAGUACAGCGUCUCCGACGUCUCUAUUGAUCCAGCUGCAAUUCCUUGUUGCCCUUCUGCCCGGAAGAGGGCAACAAGACUAGAAA